AUGGUUGCGCCCUGAUGGGAGAGGCGGGGCAAAGUUAGGAUCUCCCAUGAUAAGAGCACAGUUGGUGCUCACAGAAGAGGAAUAGAGUUGUUGGGCUCUCUGAGGUCAUGAUUCGUAGAGAGGUGGAAGGAGCAGUGGGCCGGGUUGGGCAUGUUAAAGUGUGUGAUGUUUAUUAGGAACUAGGGCUGGGAGUGGGGGCUCAAUAUAGAAGUUAAAAACACUGAGGUGUGGCACAGUCUUGUAAUGGCAGCACUUGAGAGGCCGAGGCAGGAGUGCGGAAGAUCCCAGGACAGCCUAGAGUAGUGUGUUCCAAGAUUUUGGAGGUGGUUCAAGCUGUUCAGCCACAUAGUUCGGGUAGCCUGAGCUGUAUGAGAUCAUGUCUCAAGAGUCCGUGAGCACUGGAAGAAGAGACACCCCUAUUAUGCCCUGUAAUUGGCUGGCUCCCCUAUGUUCAGCAGGCUGCUUCGUGACCCACUAUGUCUUCCCCCACAAGUUCUCUGGACACUCCCGUGCCUGGGAAUGGUUCUCCUCAGCCCAGUACCUC
rnacentral:lncRNA from 1 species